ACCAGCUGUGGUAUGGCUGUGGCUUUGCAGAGCACCCUGGAAGUGGUGUGGAUGGGGCUCCUCCUCAGCUCUCUGUGGAUGGUUGCAGAGAGCAAGGACCAAGUAUUUCAGCCUUCCUCUGUGGUAUCUUCCGAGGGAGCUGUGGUGGAAAUCCCCUGUAAUCACUCUAUAUCCACUGCUUAUGACUUCUUCUGGUACCUUCACUCCCCAGGAUGUGCACCAAGACUCUUAGUAAAGGGCUCAAGGCCUUCUCAGCAGGGACGCUACAACAUGACAUAUGAGCGAUUCUCUUCUUCACUGCUCAUCCUCCAGGUGCAGGUGGCAGAUGCUGCCUUUUACUACUGUGCUCUGGGGGACACAGAGGCAGAGAACCCAUAA